rfam:Schistosoma rodhaini strain Burundi genome assembly, scaffold: SROB_scaffold0003928
AUCCAACUGACGAGUCCCAAAUAGGACGAAACGUGCACCAAACUGGAU